AAUUUUGGACAAUGGGCGCAAGCCUGAACCAGCCAUGCCGCGUGUGUGAAGCAGGCCUUCGGGUUGUUAAGCUCUUUCGUAUGGCAAGAAAUCGCCCAGGCUAAUACCCUGCUCGGAUGUAGGUCACGUCUUCAAAAGCACCAGCUAACUACGUGCCAGCGGCCGCGGUAAUACGUAGGCUGCGAGCGUUAAUCGGAAUUACUGGGCGUAAAGCGUGCGCAGGCGGUUGAUUAAGACAGGCGUGAAAUCCCCGGGCUUAACCUGGGAACUGCGAUUGUGACUGGUCAGCUAGAAAACGGCAGAGGGAGGUGGAAUUCCACGUGUAGCAGUGAAAUGCGUAGAGAUGUGAAAGAACACAGAUGGCGAAGGCAGCACCCUGGGCCGAUACUGACGCUCAUGCACGAAAGCGUGGGUAGCAAACAGG
rnacentral:rRNA from 1 species